rnacentral:rRNA from 1 species
AGAGUUUGAUCAUGGCUCAGAAUCAACGCUGGCGGCGCGCUUAACACAUGCAAGUCGAACGAGAAAGCCCGCAAGGGUGAGUAAAGUGGCGUACGGGUGAGUAACACGUGGAUCAUCUGCCCUUUGGUGGGGAAUAACUCUGGGAAACCGGAGCUAAUACCGCAUAAGUCCGAGAGGAGAACGCAGCAAUGCGCCGAAGGAGGAGUCCGCGGCUGAUUAGCUAGUUGGUGAGGUAAUGGCUCACCAAGGCGACGAUCGGUAGCCGGCCUGAGAGGGCACACGGCCACACUGGCACUGAGACACGGGCCAGACUCCUACGGGAGGCAGCAGUGGGGAAUCUUGCACAAUGGGGGAAACCCUGAUGCAGCGACGCCGCGUGAGUGAUGAAGCCCUUCGGGGUGUAAAGCUCUUUCGACGGGAACGAUUAUGACGGUACCCGGAGAAGAAGCUGCGGCUAACUACGUGCCAGCAGCCGCGGUAAUACGUAGGCAGCAAGCGUUGUUCGGAAUUACUGGGCGUAAAGAGUACGUAGGUGGUUUGCUAAGUCCGAUGUGAAAUCUCCUGGCUUAACUGGGAGGGUGCGUUAGAUACUGGCAGGCUUGAGUGUGGGAGAGGAGAGCGGAAUUCCUGGUGUAGCGGUGAAAUGCGUAGAUAUCAGGAGGAACGCCUGUGGUGUAGACGGCUCUCUGGACCAUUACUGACACUGAGGUACGAAAGCGUGGGUAGCAAACAGGAUUAGAUACCCUGGUAGUCCACGCCCUAAACGAUGCACACUUGGUGUGGGCAGUUCAGUCUGUCCGUGCCGGAGCUAACGCGUUAAGUGUGCCGCCUGGGGAGUACGGUCGCAAGGCUGAACUCAAGGAAUUGACGGGGGCCCGCACAAGCGGUGGAGCAUGUGGUUUAAUUCGACGCAACGCGAAGAACCUUACCUGGGCUCGAACGGCUUUGGAUAGU